rnacentral:rRNA from 1 species
CGGGAAACUGUGGCUAAACCCGGAUAGGAGAAUUCUACUGGAAGGUUUUUUCUCAUAAACGUAAGGCCUAAGGAUGAGACGGCGGCCGAUUAGGUAGUUGGUGAGGUAAUGGCUCACCAAGCCAAUGAUCGGUAGGGGCCUUGAGAGAGGUAUCCCCCAGAAGGGCACUGAGAUACUGGCCCUAGCCCCACGGGGUGCAGCAGGCGCGAAAACUUUACACUGUACGAAAGUGCGAUAAGGGAAUCCAAAGUGCUCAUGCAAAGCAUGGGCUUUUGCCAUGUGUAAAUAGCAUGGCGUAUAAGUGGUGGGUAAGACAUGUGCCAGCCGCCGCGGUAACACCUGCGCCACAAGUGGCAACCAGUAUUAUUGGGCCUAAAGCGUCCGUAGCCGGCUUAGUAAAUUUCCUGUGAAAUCGUCUCGCUCAACGAAACGGCUGCCGGAAACACUGCUAAGCUUGGGACCGGGAGGCGUCAGAGGUAUUCUUGAGGGAGCGGUAAAAUGCUAUAAUCUUAGGAGGACCCCCUGUGGCGAAGGCGUCUGACGAGAACGGAUCCGACGGUGAGGGACGAAAGCCAGGGGAGCAAACCGGAUUAGAUACCCGAGUAGUCCUGGCUGUAAACGCUGCGAGCUAGGUGUUGCGCAAUCUCCGAGAUUGCGCAGUGUCGAAGCGAAGGUGAUAAGCUCGCCGCCUGGGAAGUAUGGUCGCAAGACUGAAACUUAA